rnacentral:ncRNA from 1 species
AUAAGAUAAAAUAAUAUUAUUUUAAAUAAUAAUUUUGUUAAUUAGUAUAAUUUUAAAUAAUUUUAAUUUAUAUAUAAUUACUUAAAUUAAUUUUUAUAUUUAAUAGAUUAAAUUUAAUUAAGUUAAUUAGUUUUUUGUAUUUUUAUAUAAAGUUUAAUUCUGACUUAAUAAUUUAUUAUAAGUUUUAUUUAAUAUAUAAAUAUUUAUGUUAUUAAUUUAAUUUUUUAAAUAAAAAUAGAUUUUUAAUUAUUUAGUAUAUAAAAUUAUGUAUAAAUAAAAAUAAGUUUUUUUAUAGAAUUAUAUUUAUUUAAGAUUGAAUAAAUUUGUGCCAGCAUUCGCGGUUAGACAAACUAAUUUGAGUAAAUUAAUUAAAUUUUAAAGGUAUUAUAAUUAUUUAUUUAUUUUUAAUAAAAUAAAUUAAAUUAAGGUGAAAUUUUAUUAAUUUUUUUAUUAAUUUAUUAAUAAAUUUAAAAUAUUCUUUGAAAAUUUUAAAUUAAACUAGGAUUAGAUAUAAUAGGGUAUCUAAUCCUAGUUUAUAGGAUUAGAUACCCUAUUAUUUUAAAUUGUAAAUUUAUUUAAAUUUUUUUUAUUUAUUUUUAUUUUUAUUUUAUUUUGUUUWAAAUUAGGUAGUAUUAGUUAUGAUCUUGAAACUUUAAGAAUUUGACGGUAAUUCAUUCACUUUAGAGGAACUUGUUUUUUAAUUGAUAAUCCACGAUAAAAUUUACCUAAUUUAUUUUGUUUGUAUAUCGUCGUUUAAAAAAAAUUUUUAAAGAAUUUUUAAUUUUUUUAAUAUAAUAUAUGUUGUGUAUAAUUAUAUAAAUUCAGAUCAAGGUGCAGCUAUUUAUUUAGGUUAAAAUGAGUUACAAUAAAUUUUAUUUAUUACGGAUCCUGAAUUUUAUUUUUAGGUUAAGGUGGAUUUAAAAGUAAAUUUAAAUAAUUAUUUAAGUUGAGAAUUGUUUUGAAUUAUGUACAUAUCGCCCGUCGCUCUCGUUAUAAGAUGAGAUAAGUCGUAACAAAGUAAAAGUACUGGAAAGUGUUUUUAGAAUUAAAAUUUUU